UACGAAGGGUGCAAACGUUGCUCGGAAUUAUUGGGCGUAAAGCGCACGUAGGCGGCUUGGCAAGUCGGAUGUGAAAUCCCUCGGCUCAACCAAGGAAGUGCAUCCGAAACUGCUGAGCUUGAGUACUUAAGAGGAUCGCGGAAUUCCCGGUGUAGAGGUGAAAUUCGUAGAUAUCGGGGGAACACCAGUGGCGAAGGCGGCGAUCUGGGAAGAUACUGACGCUGAGGUGCGAAAGCGUGGGGAGCAAACAGG
rnacentral:rRNA from 1 species